rnacentral:pre_miRNA from 1 species
UCUUCAUUUCAUACACUCUCUCACCGGUCAGAGAGACGAGAGAGUGUGCGAAAUGCUGAGA